rnacentral:rRNA from 1 species
GACGAACGCUGGCGGCGUGCUUAACACAUGCAAGUCGAACGGAAAGGCCCUGCUUUUGUGGGGUGCUCGAGUGGCGAACGGGUGAGUAACACGUGAGUAACCUGCCCUUGACUUUGGGAUAACUUCAGGAAACUGGGGUUAAUACCGGAUAGGAGCUCCUGCUGCAUGGUGGGGGUUGGAAAGUUUCGGCGGUUGGGGAUGGACUCGCGGCUUAUCAGCUUGUUGGUGGGGUAGUGGCUUACCAAGGCUUUGACGGGUAGCCGGCCUGAGAGGGUGACCGGCCACAUUGGGACUGAGAUACGGCCCAGACUCCUACGGGAGGCAGCAGUGGGGAAUAUUGCACAAUGGGCUGAAGCCUGAUGCAGCAACGCCGCGUGCGGGAUGACGGCCUUCGGGUUGUAAACCGCUUUCGCCUGUGACGAAGCGUGAGUGACGGUAAUGGGUAAAGAAGCACCGGCUAACUACGUG